AGAGCGAACGCUGGCGGCAGGCCUAACACAUGCAAGUCGAGCGGCCGUAGCAAUACGGCAGCGGCAGACGGGAGAGUAACACGUGGGAACGCGCCCUUCGGUUCGGAAUAACUCAGGGAAACUUGGGCUAAUACCGGAUACGCCCUUACGGGGAAAGAUUUAUUGCCGAAGGAACGGCCCGCGUCCGAUUAGCUUGUUGGUGAGGUAACGGCUCACCAAGGCGACGAUCGGUAGCUGGUCUGAGAGGAUGACCAGCCUCACUGGGACUGAGACACGGCCCAGACUCCUACGGGAGGCAGCAGUGGGGAAUAUUGGACAAUGGGCGCAAGCCUGAUCCAGCCAUGCCGCGUGGGUGAUGAAGGCCCUAGGGUUGUAAAGCCCUUUCGGCGGGAAGAUAAUGACGGUACCGCAGAAGAAGCCCCGGCUAACUUCGCGCCAGCAGCCGC
rnacentral:rRNA from 1 species